AUCUGAGCGUCUUAUUUUAAUAAGUCAAAACUUUCAACAACGGAUCUCUUGGUUCUGGCAUCGAUGAAGAACGCAGCGAAAUGCGAUAAGUAAUGUGAAUUGCAGAAUUCAGUGAAUCAUCGAAUCUUUGAACGCACAUUGCGCCCAUUAGUAUUCUAGUGGGCAUGCCUGUUCGAGCGUCAUUUCAACCCUUAAGCCUAGC
rnacentral:rRNA from 7 species